AUCUGGCUGAAAUUCUGGGAAGUGCUGGAAAUCCCCAAAGCAAACUGCCAGAUGCCAUUUCUGGAUCCUGGAUACGUGGGCUUGGUUGCUAAGAAGACGAUGCCUCCUCCCCUUCACCACACGCAGCUGACGCCUGAACGACAGGGAGUUGAUGUACACAGAGCAGGGAUCUAACAAUGUCAACUGUGCUGACAUCAUCCUAGCUGUGCAGGGCUGAUGGGAAUUCAGAAUAUCAAACAUCACAUCAAGGGCAGUGAGCAGGUAUCAUCUACUGAACUGUUCAGACGCAAAUGAAUUGAAAAGGAGAUGAACAAGAGAGCACGAUAUAGAGAGAAAAUGUCAUCCCAUAUCACCAAGGGACAGAACAAGACUGCAGCUAUCUCCCUUUGGGGGUCAACCUUACUACUCAACCUGAGAUGCAAAGGAACAAUUCAGAAGCCAUAUGGGGACAAUUUUCAUAAGUGCUUGACCUCAACAAAAAAAGUAAAAUGGAUUUUAUCGUACUUAGAAAACCAACAAUUGCAGUCUGGAUUCAAACAUCACUGUUUGACGCACCCAACUUGAGUCAAAAGAUGCUUCAAAUCCCACUAUGCUGGAGAUUACAAACAUACCUCAAGAUUAUGACUCACACAUCAGAAACAUGCACAGAGACCUGGAGACUGAAAGCAGUCUUUCAAAGUCUUCUAGCAACAGAAAUACCUUACAUGCACAGCUCAGGUAUUCAUUUUUUUGAAGUCUUUUAUUUCUUUAUAACUUCUCAUUUUUGUUCUUUUUUUUUUUUUUUUUUUCUCAAACCCAGUGGAAGUUUUUUGGACUUUUUAAUGCCUGUGGUUAUAGCUAUUACAAUGGGCUUCUGUAUUAGUUGCAUAUUGCUCUGUGACAAACUACCCUAAAAUUUAGAUUCUUAAAAUAAUAACAGACUUACAUUAUCUCUGGCAACUUCUAGCUGAGUGAUUCUGGCUCAGGGUUUCUCAAAAGAGUGUAGUAAAGAUGUCAUUUGUUGUUGCAGCCAUCUGAAAAUUUGCCUGAGACCAAAGAAUCUAUUUCUGCGAUGACUCCCUCAAGUAACCAAGUGUGUGCUGGUGGUUGGUGGGAGGUAUCAGUUUCCCACCACGUGAACCACUUCAUAUGAUUGGAAUGCCACAAUAUCUUUAAUGACUUCACCUUGGAAGUCACAUUCUAUCAUUUUUGCAAUAUUUUAUUGAUUAUUCAGUGUGGAAGGAGACUACACAAAAACAUGAAUACCAGAAGGCUAGAAUCCUUGGGGCCAUCUUAGAUACUGACUAACCUAGCAUUUUUACCUAUUCAUAUAUUUCAUUUACUCAGUGCAUCUGUCAGUAUCAUUUAUAGCCAAUGCACUAGGCCAGGUGCUGCAGUGGGGCAUAAAGGUGUGUAAGUUGAAAGUCCUGCUCUUUAAAAUUUAAUACUUGGUGAAAGGGUUGAAACACCUACUCCCAUAACUGCAGUACAAGGUAAUAUAGGACAAAUAGCAAGGAUGUAGUGAUGUUGGUAAGCACCUCAGGUGUUCAGAGGAAGGGGAGCAAUUUCUUGUUGGGGUUUCAGAACAAAGGGAAUGUGAUCUGGGUCUCAGAAUAAAAUAGGAUCACUGUGGACAAAGACAAGUGAAAAUACAUCUCAUGCUGAGUGAACAAUGUGAAUAGGAUCAUGAAGGAUCGUGAAGUUGAGAAAGCAAGCUGAGUUCAGGGGCCAGCAACCAGACUACUUUAGAAUAGCUUAUGUAGAAAGUAGAAAGAUAAAGAUAGGGAAAAGUAGGCAGAGACCAGUUUAUGCAAGUCCUUGGAAGCUAUGUUAAAAUUUUUGAGUCUACUCAGCAAAUACUGGGAGCAGAUAAAAUUUUUUGAGAUGGUAAGUAAUGGGACAAAAUGUUUACUCUUUUAGUUUACUCUCCAAGGGGAAUCAGAGAGUGAGAAAUCAGAGACAUAGAAACAGGGUAGGAAGAACUCACAAUAAGGAGAGAAGGUAAUAACCAUAAAUAUUAUAAGUAGAAUUAGAAAGGAAUAAUCUUGAAGGAGGAAUUUGAAGAAGUUUGUAAUUCAUUGUAUACCACAUUUGAAAAAGCUGUCCCAAUAACUUGAGAUUUGCUACCUGUUUUGGAGGAGAAGUUGGUUUAAAGAGGAAAAUGGUUUAAAGAAUUUGUUUUAGGACACAUCAGUUAAAAAGAACUUGAGUAUUCUUCGUAUGUUCUCUUUUUCUUUUCCUGCACUGAAGCUUAAUCUCUUUGGGUAGUUGCUUCCUGAGAUGAAUCCUGGGAACUUGGGGAGUUGGGGAAUCCUAGCGCUGAGGUGAGGAAAGAGGGCAGUGUGGGAAAGAACAGGGCUAGAAUCUGUGAAAAUUGAGUUAGUUGGCUCCAGAGUCUGUUGAGCUCUGGUAAUCAUGAUGGUGGACAAGGGAUGGGAUUGUGAGAAAAUGAUGAACUGAAAAAUAAUGUAGUGACUGAGGUCACAGAAUUUGAAAUCAUACAGGCAUGAUAAAAAAUCCAGGUCUCCAUUUCUAGCUGACCUUGGCAAAAUGCAUAAUUUGCAGAAAGCUCAUUUGCCUAACCUGUAAUAAAUAGGAUUCAUAAUAGGGUCUUGUGAGGUUUCAAUGAAAUGUUUGGCAUAUCAAGCUUUCAGCAUGGUGGCUGGCACAUAGAAAACACUCUGUAAUGAACAGUGGAUUUAUUGAAAUGGUGGGCUUUAUGCUACUACAAAAAGAGAUUGAUACUGUCCCAGGAUCUUUUAUACCAGGUGAGUAGAAUUACUGAUCUCUUUUGGAAUCUGAUUAAUGCCUUACUGCAUACAGCUGGAGGGAGGUGAGUAUUCCUUCUUGAGUUAUUUUCGCAUAUGAUGUAAGGAAAGGGUCCAGUUUCAGUUUUUUUGCACAUGGCUAGCCAGUUUUCCCAACAUCAUUUA